rnacentral:rRNA from 1 species
UACGUAGGGGGCAAGCGUUGUCCGGAAUCAUUGGGCGUAAAGAGCGUGUAGGCGGCUCGAUAAGUCUGCUGUGAAAGUCCAGGGCUCAACCCUGGAAGGCCGGUGGAAACUGUCGGGCUAGAGUCCGGAAGAGGCGAGUGGAAUUCCCGGUGUAGCGGUGAAAUGCGCAGAUAUCGAGGAGAACCAAGCCGGUAGGCGAAGGCGGGCUGCG